UACGUAGGGGCCUAGCGUUGUCCGGAAUUAUUGGGCGUAAAGAGCUCGUAGGCGGUUCGGCAAGUCGGAUGUGAAAUCUCCACGCUUAACGUGGAGGGGCCAUUCGAAACUGCUGUGACUCGAGUCCGGUAGGGGAGUGUGGAAUUCCCGGUGUAGCGGUGAAAUGCGCAGAUAUCAGGAGGAACACCAGCGGCGAAGGCGGUGCUCUGGGCCGGAACUGACGCUGAGGAGCGAAAGCGUGGGGAGCGAACAGG
rnacentral:rRNA from 1 species